ACUAUUUUGGCAGAAAAGUGUAAUGGUUUUAGAAGUCAUAAAUAUAUAAAUUAUUUAUAUAGGUAGUA
rnacentral:tRNA from 1 species